UACGGGGGGGGCAAGCGUUGUUCGGAAUUACUGGGCGUAAAGGGCGCGUAGGCGGCCUGCUAAGUCGGAUGUGAAAUCCCUCGGCUCAACCGAGGAACUGCAUCCGAUACUGGCGGGCUUGAAUCCGGGAGAGGGAUGUGGAAUUCCAGGUGUAGCGGUGAAAUGCGUAGAUAUCUGGAGGAACACCGGUGGCGAAGGCGGCAUCCUGGACCAAUAUUGACGCUGAGGAGCGAAAGCCAGGGGAGCAAACGGG
rnacentral:rRNA from 1 species